GCAUUGGUGGUUCAGUGGUAGAAUUCUUGCCUGCCAUGCAGGAGGCCCAGGUUCCAUUCCCAGCCAAUGCU
rnacentral:tRNA from 1 species